GGGGCCAUAGUUAAAUGGGAGAACGUAUCGUUCGCAACGAUAAGGUGUGGGUUCGAUUCCCGCUGGCUCCA
rnacentral:tRNA from 1 species